CAGGAGAGGACGAAGCCUCUGGCUGCGGGUCUCUGGAAUGGAAAAGAGGGCUUCCAAGCACACCGGCCUGCUCUGAGGACCCCAACAGGACACAGGACAGGACAGCGAGAGCCCUCCAGGGGUCUCCAACCCCCAGGAGCUCUUCACUGACAGAGCACUCAAAACCAGGCACGAUUGAGAGAGAUUAUUGUUCUCCAGUCAUUCUGCUGAGAAACAAUUGGACUUAUUUCCAUGGAGACCAGGGACUCUGCGGAUUUGGGAAAGCCCCAGAGGAAAUCAGUGAGGGGUUCGUGGGAGAUUGGUGAGCUGGCCAGUGUGAGACCUGAGGUCCUCUCAGAAGAGAGGACGCCCCAUGCCGACCGGGAGAUGCAAGACAAAGCACCCCAUUACUACAUCCCUAUCCAGAGAAACUCCAUCUUCAAUCGCACCGUGAGACACAGAAGCAAAGGCAAAGCCAGAGGCACUCCCGAACAGAACUGCGGACACCUGGCAGAUUCACUGGAAAAUGGGAACUCUGUAAAUGAGCCCCUGAACUUGAAUUUCCCCCAGAGCAGAACUCGACCCUGGAGAAUAUCAACACGGACAGACCUAGGAGCCAAGAGAGCAAGGUUCCAUAUAUAUGCGUUAGCAUAAGG